rnacentral:lncRNA from 1 species
AAAACUUUAUGUUAUAUUUAUGACACAGACUCGCAAACACGGCCUAUAUUUAAUAUAAAAACGAAAUUAAAAUUUCCCACUAUCAGUUGUCUUCUUCUUCUCGUAUAUUGUUAACCUACACACUUGUUCAAAAUCAUUGGCUGUUUCUUCCGAAUUACUUACUUUAAAACAAAUAAAAUAGAAAAAAAAAAGAUCUCAUCACUAACGAUAGGCUAUCAUUUUUCAUACAUGACAUGAGCAAUUAUUAGGUCUGACAAUUUAUAAAUAUGUAUGUGUGUGGG